rnacentral:misc_RNA from 1 species
AUUUUUUUUUUCUAUUUGUUUAAAAAAAUUAGCUGGUUGAGAAACGCCCAAACAAUAAACAACCUGACCGAUCUCAAAAAUGGGGAUCACCACCUAACCGAGACGGUUUUGAGAAUCGGUCCUAGGCCGUCCAGUUUAAGGACCGAGGCUCCUCAGACCGGAACUGAACCGUGGCCGGGGAUUAAACUGAACAAAACAAAAUCAUAAGAGAACACAGUGCAAGGCGCAUCAUUCACUUCCAAAACUGACAAAACAUUGACCGGUCAAAGACAUAAACCGAAAAGCUGUGCUAAGAUUUUAAUACAGAAACAAAGCAAAAGGAGGAUAAAUAGAACCUCGAACAGAUUUUCAUUGUAAAUGUCCUCG